rnacentral:rRNA from 2 species
CCUACGGGAGGCAGCAGCAGGGAAUAUUGUGCAAUGAACGAAAGUUUGACACAGCGACACCGCGUGUGGGAUGACGGAUCUAGGUUUGUAAACCACUUUCAGGAGGGAAGAAAAUGACGGUACCUCCACAAGAAGCCCCGGCCAACUACGUGCCAGCAGCCGCGGUAAUACGUAGGGGGCGAGCGUUGUCCGGAUUUAUUGGGCGUAAAGAGCUCGUAGGCGGUUCAACAAGUCGGUCGUGAAAGUUCAGGGCUCAACCCUGAAAUGUCGAUCGAUACUGUUGUGACUAGGAUACGGUAGAGGUGAGUGGAAUUCCGAGUGUAGCGGUGAAAUGCGUAGAUAUUCGGAGGAACACCAAUUGCGAAGGCAGCUCACUGGACCGCUAUCGACGCUGAGGAGCGAAAGCUAGGGGAGCAAACAGGAUUAGAUACCCUGGUAGUCCUAGCUGUAAACGAUGGAUACUAGACGUAGGAACUGGAUUGACGGUUUCUGUGUCGUAGCUAACGCGUUAAGUAUCCCGCCUGGGGAGUACGGUCGCAAGACUAAAACUCAAAGGAAUUGACGG